UACGUAGGGGGCAAGCGUUGUCCGGAUUUAUUGGGCGUAAAGAGCGUGUAGGCGGCCAGGUAGGUCGGUUGUGAAAACUGGAGGCUCAACCUUCAGAGGUCGACCGAAACCAUCUGGCUAGAGUCCGGGAGAGGAGAGUGGAAUUCCUGGUGUAGCGGUGAAAUGCGUAGAGAUCAGCAGGAACACCCGUGGCGAAGGCGGCCCCCUGGGCCGUACCUGACGCUGAGGCGCGAAGGCU
rnacentral:rRNA from 1 species